AGCUGUAUUGAUGUGGGCGGGCCAGUGACGUCAGAGGUCAACAACGAUGGCGUCUGUAGCAGAACCCCUCACACUUCAACAAGAUGUCAAGAGAGCUGUUGAGUUACUUGAUAAGCUACAGAAGACUGGGGAAAUACCUUCUGCCAAGUUAGCAGCACUUCAGCGUGUUCUUCAGUCAGAGUUCCUAACUGCAGUGCGAGAAGUGUAUGAACAUGUUUAUGAGACAGUUGACAUCUCAGGUUCUCCAGAGAUCCGAGCUUCUGCUACAGCCAAGGCAACAGUUGCUGCAUUUGCUGCAAGUGAGGGCCAUGCUCAUCCAAGAGUUGUUGAACUACCAAAGACCGAUGAAGGUCUAGGAUUUAAUGUAAUGGGCGGUAGAGAACAAAAUUCUCCCAUAUACAUCUCUCGCAUCAUCCCAGGGGGUGUUGCGGACCGGCAUGGUGGGCUCAAGAGAGGUGAUCAGCUCUUGUCUGUCAAUGGAGUGAGUGUUGAAGGUGAAAACCAUGAGCGUGCUGUCGAGUUGCUGAAGGCUGCUAGUGGCUCCGUGAAGCUGGUGGUCCGCUACACCCCGCGAGUCUUGGAGGAGAUGGAGAUGCGCUUCGACAAACAACGAGCGUCACGUAGGCGAACUUCCCAGUUACAGUAGAGACCCCUAGUGAAGGACUGGCGUGGGCUGAUGUCACUUCGUGCGAGAGAUGGGGAACAGGCAGAAAGUCAGCCAGGUGGAGGACAGUGGAACUAAGCACCAUGCAACACAGUGCAGCCCAGUGCUGCAAGUCUUACAUGAAGACCAAAGAUUGGUAGUCACUUCCAUUCUGAGAUAGUGCCAAUAUCUCUCUGAAUAUUUUCAGCAUGAUCAAGAUGACAGUGUUAACAAGUUUGUUGUUAUAUCUUUGUAUUACUCCCAGCACAGACUCAAAAGACCCUUAUUGUUACAAAAGUUUUCGCUGUCAGUUAAGUGUAGUAAGGUAUCCUAUUGCUCUUACUGAUUUAUUGUAUUUGUAAUUUCCACAUUUAGUCAGUAUUUAUAGUGUUCAGAAGUCUUCACAAUAAUUGUAAUGUCAGGAAAGUUAGAAAUUUGUAUCCCAGAGAAUCUUGUUAAGUGUUUUCUAAUAAGUAUUAUGACUCUUCAUCUCUGGCCUGAAACACAACAUGAUCUGUGGUGAAAAAAGGAAAACAAAUGGAAAGUCUUAAUAUUAUUUAUGAAUACAGAGGGUAUGUAACAAAUAUCUGACAUGUAUUGUUUUGUUUACCCAAGAAAUUAUUAGAGGAUCACUCAUUAUUAAUAUAUAAUUCAGUGAUCUAGAUAAUAAAGUGUACAUUUAAUUUUAGAAGUUGUAAGGAACUCAUUGUGUCCCUUAUGUAUUUAUUAUGUAUGUAUUAUGUAUUUAUAUAAAAGCAUUUUUUUUUUUUUUAGUACAGUAUAUAACCUCUUUUUUAUUAAUAUGUAUGCACAUUGUAUGUGCAAUAUUGUUAGGUUUAUAUGAAUCUAGUAUAAUUUAUUACAUUUCAAUUGGAAAUUAAGUAUGGUAUUAGGUGUUGUACUCUUUUAAAGUAACUUUCAUGAUGUCUUCAAGGCAAGACAUGGAAGAAGUCAAAAUAAAUAAGUGUUAUAAGGAGUUUCUGUAAUCUUCAUAACUUUUCAUUGUUAAUACUGUACGUACUGUAGUUUUUAUUCAGGAAUGAGAUAUUCCAGCAUGAGGCAACACUGCAAUUUGGAGAACAAAUCAGACUUGAAGCUCAUGAUAGUUGUUAUGUCACCAUGGGAACCAUGUGGCCUUACUGUAUUACAGUAAUAUGAUGUAAGAGGUCCAGUGGCCAAUAAGGGUGUGGCAGCUAAGUGGAUACAUCUCCUAUCUCUUGUCCUAAGGGUAGCUGGUUCUCACCUUGGGCAUCCUCAACCCAUCCUGUUGUGAUUGGGUACUUAUCUUUACAGUUGGGAAAGUGAAGGCAGUCAAGUUUAGUGCCAGAUCUGAUACUUUUGUAUCAAAGGCUAUUUAUUCAUUGUGUUGUAUCAAUAUUGCCCCUAAUGGGUCAUCACACCUAUGGGACUCACUUAAACUAUGAUUUGUACGGGUAUUUUUUGGUGUGAUAUUUAGUGGUAAGGCAGCUAGGAAGAAUGAGUGAAAGAACACAUGGGCAGUAUGUUAAUUUUGUUUCUGGCAACUGUUAUAUGGGAAAGCUUGCAUUAAUAGAAAGUGAGACAGUAAUAAUAAAGUAUAGUAUCAUUCUUAUCAAAAAUUUUGACCAAAACCUAAGCUAGUCUAACUUAAAAUUAAAUAAAGUCAGCCAUCAUAUCACCUCUAUCGUGAGCUUUAAGUUAAUUUAUUCUCAGUGAAUUCAGAGUACUGUACCAUCUAAUUAUCCAUCAUAAAACAGUAUUUGUUCCUUUCAUGGUAGAAGGUAUUAAAGUUUUUAGAUAUGAGGAUUGGAAAGGUUUCUGGUAACUGAAGAUCACCUAUAUUUGUGAUAUUUAUACACACUCAUGUGAAUAUGUUUGAUUUUAAUAGACUGCUAAAGUAAGGCAGCUAUUCAGUACUUUACAAUAUUAUAUCAGCUUCAAAAGAAUAUGCAUCUCUACUUUACAAAGGGCAUACUUUAUGCAAAAGAUGGGCUUGUGGUAGUUCCAUAACUUUUCACCCUGAAAAAUAUAAAAAGCUAACCCCUAUUGCAGCUAUUUUAAAUCCUACAAACCAUUUCCUAAUUGUUGUAGGGUGGUGCUUGUGAGAAGAGAACUGUUAGGUAGCUGGGAGCCAUUAGAUGACACAAUGCCUGGCUCUGCACAUUACAACACAAAGUAAUGAAUGUAAUGUCACUCCAAUCUGUAUUUGAGAUACAACCCACUUCUCUUGUGCUGUAAAUUUUUUGCAUUACAAUUGUACCUUAGUGCCCUUAUAGCACUAUAACUCUUCGUAUUCUAUAACUAGGAUUUGUACAAGCAUUAUGGUGCCCGUAAAAUGCAUAAUUCUUCUUUUGUCAUCCCUAAACACUGACAAAGCAAGUUCAACAUACUUAAAGGAGUUUUAGUUGUUGGAAAAGUGAUAUGUGUGUGUGUGUAAACAUGAAAAAAUAUUCCACUGGUGUUUUAAGUGUACGGACAUGUAGAAGAGCAGAAUAUCAUAAUUUUGUAAAGGGUAAAGAUGUGUACAUUAUACAAUACACACAUUGAAUGAAAUACUGAAAAGAGGUUUGUUUAUUGUUGAAAAAUAAUAAGAUUGUAACAAUUAUUUUGUGAGGAUUGAUUGGAGAACAUACCCUUUCAUGGUUAUUUUCUACUUGACAGAAAGGUCAUAUUUACUAGUUCUGGGAUGUUAUAUUUAUAGUUAUUAUAUUUUCUUUCAAUUUCUUUUUUAGAGAGAUAACACUUUCAUUGUAAAUUUUUAUUUUGUAGAUUAUAUUUUAUUUGUUAGAAUACAGUACUUGUUUUCUAUAUGACAUCAGAAUGUUUAUUUCAGUAGUCAAGGAUUAAAAUACAUUAAGAGAUUCUGUCAGUGAGUUUUAGUACCCUGAAUAGCUAAGAUGGGAUCAAGAUUGUAUUGCAUUUGAAUUUCAAAAUUAAUUAAAUUUUGUCUUGUUUUGUAGUCAAAUUCUAUGACUGCCCACACUAAUUGGAUGGAGCUUCAUGUAGCACAUAUUUAUUCUGUACUUAACUAUAGUUUAAAAAUUAUAUUGUAACAUUUCUUACUAUAGAAGUGAAAAUGUAUGUCAAAGAUAAGAGACGUGAAGGUGAACUUUUUCUGUUACAGUUUCCAAAAGUUUGUGAGUUGUCAGGUUAGAUCACUUCUACAACUCUAACCUUCCCACAUCACUGAUUUACCUGUUCAAUGUAGCAACUUUGAGCCACAAAGUGGCCCUUGAUUAUCUUUAUCUGUCUUUCAACACAACUUCAUUCAUUUGUGAGUGGGUUAGUAAGCAUCAUACGGAAAGAAUUACAAAUAAAUGGAUAACUAAGAAGUCUACCAAAUAAAAAUGUAUUGAAA